AUUCUACAGCAGAUGCUGUCUGAGGAAAGGGUAGUUCCUCACCUCCCACUGGCCACAAUCUGGGAAUGGCACGUUGGGGUAGCAUGCCAUCAGACCGGUCACCAGCGUUUGAAGGCUGUCCACUUGCUCUUGAAGGUAGUGCAGUGCAGUGCCCAGAGGGAGUGUGACCUUACCUUGUUGAAGCCGCUUUGGCAGCUUUUUACCUGUACGGAAAACAACUUGUGUCAUGACAUGGCCAAGCCUGGGAUUCUUCUUCCUCUUCGUCGUGCGCUUGCAGAACUCUUCCUUGUUACAGAAAACAGAGUUAGUGAGCUUGGAUCUCUACAAGAGUAUUUGCUUGCCUUAAAUACUGAAGAUCAACUUCACCGCUGCACAGCACAGG